rnacentral:lncRNA from 1 species
AAAGGAAAAAAUAUUGAAAAUAUGAACUCGACGCGAUUCGAACUCAAAGGUUUGUCGAGACAGGCCAAACGACCUACCACUAAGCCACCGAGGGAGAACGAAAGUUUAUGUCAAAUUAAACACUAUAGCUAAUUGUCGUGACGCGCUUAUCUUAUGCGGUGAAAUAGUUUAUUAGGCGGUGAAUUGCGGUGAAGAAUUUUGGCAGUUCGAGGCAACUUAGAACGCCAUGGUGGCAGCACUUUCCUUGCGAUAGUAACUUCUAGUAUUUGCUUAUACUGUAUGUUGUAUUUGAGCCAAAGUAUACGGUAUACCACACUCAAUUUCACUCUUUAAACUAUUUGGCAGCUUCUCUCAAACAGCCAAAACUAGUUACGCGAGUUGAAAUAAAACACCUCAAAUAAUAUCGAACGGAAUUAUCUGUUAGAAAUGAUUGGAUCUCUUCGAGCCAGGCUCAACAUACCAAUAUUUCCAACUACUUGCAAAGCGAUUUCUCAUAUGAAGAUGUAAAAAGAAUAAAAACAGCUGGAUAGAAAUAAAAGGAAAAAAAAUUAAAAAUAUGAAGUCGACGCGAUUCGAACUCAAAGGUUUGUCGAGGCAGGCUAAACGCCAUACCACUAAGCCACCGAGGGAGAACCAAAGUAAUUAUCAUGAUCGGACGGGUAAGGAUUCAUUUGCAUAUACGUAUACUGUCUCAAAGUUUAUAUGUCAAAAUGUGUUUUAAAAUUCUCCUGAGACAAAACUUUCUACAUCAUUUUGUGUUUUGAACAUUUCUAAGUCGGUCCAUGCCGAAAAAACUUUUUCGAUCAGCUCGAAAUUUUCUAAUCUCAAACUUUAGUUGACUCAAGAUUGAUCCCACGGGUAACGGUUAAGCCUAAUAGUAUUUAUAAUGAUCGGACGGGUAAGGAUUCAUUUGCAUAUACGUAUACUGUCUGAAAGUUUAUAUGUUAAAAUGUGCUUUAAAAUACUCCUGAGCCAAAACUUUCUGCAUCAUUAUGCGUUUUGAACAUUUCUAAGUCGGUCCAUGACGAAAAAACUUUUUCGAUCAGCUCGAAAUUUUCUAAGUCUCAAACUUUAGUUGACUCAAGAUUGAUCCCACGGGUAACGGGUAAGCCUAAUAGUAUUUAUAAUGAUCGCACGGGUAAGUAUUCAUUUGCAUAUACGUAUACUGUCUCAAAGUUUAUAUGUCAAAAUGUGCUUUAAAAUUCUCCUGAGCCAAAACUUUCUGCAUCAUUUUGUCUUUUGAACAUUGCUAAAUCGGUCAAUCACGAAAAACUUUUUCGAUCUGCUCGAAAUUUUCUAAGUCUCAAACUUUAGUUGACUCAAGAUUGAUCCCACGGGUAACGGGUAAGCCUAAUAGUAUUUAUAAUGAUCGGACGGGUAAGGAUUCAUUUGCAUAUACGUAUACUGUCUGAAAGUUUAUAUGUUAAAAUGUGCUUUAAAAUUUUCCUGAGCCAAAACUUUCUGCAUCAUUAUGCGUUUUGAACAUUUCUAUAAGUCGGUCCAUGACGAAAAAACGUUUUCGAUCAGCUCGAAAUUUUCUAAGUCUCAAACUUUAGUUGACUCAAGAUUAAUCCCACGGGUAACGGGUAAGCGUAACACUAUUUAUAAUGAUCGGACGGGUAAAGGCGGUUUUCCACGAGGCGAAAUUUUUCGACCGAAACGAAAUUUCUCUUUGUCUUUUUACAAUUAGUUCUGCUUGACAGCUCAUGAAACAAAGAGAAAUUUCGAUUCGGUCGAAAAAUUUCGCCUAGUGGAAAACCGCCUACGGCGGAAAUCGAAAAAAUCUACAUACAUCUAGUACAACCCAAGACAGAGAAUAUCGAAGAAUUGUAAUAUGUUAGCUGCUUGCAUUGUUGCCAUCAUGGUAUAGUGGUAAAGACUGAGGCCAUCAUGAGCGUAUGUUGUUGACCGUUCCCAGGUAAAACUCUCGUAACUUUUCGUAUAAUUUUUUUCUUUAUUUCUUUUUGCCAUUAUUUUUCCAAAACAUCUCUAAAUCGCUCCUUCUAACGGCUGAAUAUUCAUUUUUAUAUAUUUUUUUGUUUAUUAGGACAAUUUUGAGUUGAUUUAACCAAGGAUGACGAGAGAUGAACAAGGAUGUAGAGCGCUGAAGAGAAUUCUUCGGUAGGAUGAAAUCAAAAAAAUCUACAUACAGUUAGUACAACCCAAAACAGAGAAUAUGGAAGAAUUGUAAUAUGUUAGCUCUCUUCAUUGUUGCC